CCUGCCACUUGCCGACUGUGUGUGUGCUCGAGUGCAUGCCUGAGUUGUAUCAGAUUAUUGUUAAUUAAUAGUCAUUGAACACAACUGGCAAGCUGUCUGCAUUAGCAGUGCUUCAAAUAUUGCUAAAUGAUUACAUUUCUAUUCUAUUUAAACGAAACGUGAUUUUGACAGCAUCAGCAAACUAAUUCCGCUUUCAUUUUAGAAUGAUAAUUGAAGCUGCCUAUCUAUGCAAUACUAAAUGCAAAAAAGUCUAAUUAAACUCUCAACUAACUAAAUUCUCCACAGCGGUAUUCGUCAGAGUCUUGGAAUGAAACAAUACACAAAUGUUACUUUUGAAGCGACUCUUCUUUGAAUUAAGCAAAAUCAGCUCUCAGAACAAAAUCUGGACAUUACCUGUCUAACAGCAAUCUAUCCGCCUCGAAAAAUGAAGUCACAUUUGCACCAGACGCUAUCACCAUUCCAUAGCCUUCCCAUAAAAACAGUCUCUAUCAGUUGGAUCAGUACUUAACGUGACACUGCUGUGGGAAGUGUCUAAUUCAAUGGCAUGAAUUUAUGCGUCUAGAGGUGCCACAAUCAUGUCCAACAAAAGCACUUGUCCUAUUCACAAAAUUUCGCGGCGACAUCUUUCGUAUGCUAAGCAGCAGCAGCAGCAGCACAAUUCGACCAUGUUCUUUUUUGGUUUUGUUGGCUUUGUUCAGAGUUGGGGCUUGAUGAUUGUGGGGGAAGGCGAGAGAAGAACCAUAAAAGCGUCACUGAAUUCUGCAAAAACCAAAAGCAGAACCAUUGACAAGCCGUUUGACAUGAAAUGAAUUGUGAAAUUAAACAGACGGCACAAUGACAGCGACAAGAGUUGUGGAAAGGAUGUCAAAGCCACACUGUCAGUACUAGAAAGAACUGCCAGGCUGAAUCGAGUGCUGUGGCUACAAAUUGCUAAGUGAUUUCGAAUGUGUGCGUGGCCAAGUUGGGUCUCUGUGAAAGUCAAAGGAAGCAAACAUGUGUCUACAGUGCCACUUAAAAGUCAACUGCCACUGGCAACAAAUCUCAUAAAAAACUCGGGUACUUAAUUCUUGUAUUUGACUUUUUCAGUGUUCCUUUUGAGUUGUUGCUUGCUUGUUUGUUAUUGUGAUUGAUGUGAACACUUAAAUAGCAACAUUUAUUUGCCCGAUACUCGAAUGG